rnacentral:rRNA from 1 species
AUUGAACGCUGGCGGCAGGCUUAACACAUGCAAGUCGAUCGAGCGGCGGCCGGGUGAUUAAUGUCUGGGAAACUUCCUGAUGGAUGGGGAUAACUACUGGAAACUGUAGCUAAUACCGCAUACCAUCAGAUGUGCCCAUAUGGGAUUAGCUAGUAGGGGGGGUAAUGGCUCGCCUAGGCGACGUUCCCUAGCUGGUCUGAGAGGAUGACCAGCCACACUGGAACUGAGACACGGUCCAGACUCCUACGGGAGGCAGCAGUGGGGAAUAUUGCACAAUGGGCGCAAGCCUGAUGCAGCCAUGCCGCGUGUGUGAAGAAGGCCUUCGGGUUGUAAAGCACUUUCAGCGAGGAGGCGUUACUCGCAGAAGAAGCACCGGCUAACUCCGUGCCAGCAGCCGCGGUAAUUC